AGAGGAUUGGUGUAAUGGUAGCAUGUCGGUCUCCAAAACCGUUGGUCAAGGUUCGAGUCCUUGAUUCUCUG
rnacentral:tRNA from 1 species